UUCUCUGUAGCACCAGGAAUGAACUAUGAUCAUCUCAGUUUGGCAAGUGAGGAAACUGGCUGUGCCCCCAGGGCCCGUGCAGCUCACCUGCUCUGAUCCUGGUGCUGCAGCCAGCACUGGGACCCGCCCACACCUGCCUCCCACUGUUCCUGCUGGUUGGGGGAGCCAGGGGGUCUUACCUCACAGCCUUUGGCCAUGGCGAAGCCCCCUCCCAGGAGAAGGAUGAUGUUCCAGGGCACUGUCUCCUGGGCCUUCUUCCAGGUCAGCAAGGGCUCUGUCUCUGUGUUGGGAGCUGGGCAGAGAGAGGGAUUCAGCACACACUCAGGGCCGCUCAGCCUGAGGCAGAGGCCACCAGCCCUGAGCCCCAUCUUACCGGGGACACUCAGGGGUCCCCAGGAAGCCAAAGUGUGGAUCCAGCAUUUGACUUGGAGCUUUAGGGAGAGAGUGCACAGGCAUCAUGAUAGGUGGAGCUGCUCUAUUCCCAGUGAAAAUAAUUGUCAUGGUUCCCACAGCUUGGGAGUUUUUGGAAACUCCACAUGCAGGACAUCACUUAACUCUCCCAACAGCCCUUGGGCACAAGUGCUAUUUUUACCCUCAUUUAUAAGAGAAAAGGCUUUCUUUGUACUGGAACAUGUACAGAGAGGAAAGAAAAAGAGGAAGGAAAUUUAGAAAAAUAGAAACAAAGGGUAUUUUUGAGCCCCGAAAUGAUGGGAUGAUUUUUAUUUCCUCGCAAGUGGCAGCGCUGCAGUGGUGAGGACAGUGGGCGGGGGAGUCAACAAACUUUCUGCAGGGGGUUAGCGAGUGAAUCAUUGAGGCUUUGCAGGCCACACAGUCUCUGUUGUCACUACUCCGUCGUUGUAGCAUGAAAACAGCCAGAGACCAUACCUAAACGUGUGGGCAUGGUUGUAAAUAAAACUCUAUUUACAAAAGCAGGUGGUGGGUUGGACCUGGCACGUGGCUGGUAGUGUGACAUCCCUGGGUUGGGGGCAUAGGCUUGGAGACAGACCUUCCUCAGUCUUGGCUUACUGCAUGCCCUUGACAAGUGACUUUGCCUCCCUGAGCCCCAUUUCCUCAGCCGGCACAUGGCACAGUUACAGAACCGGGGAGUCCCUGUGAACACGAACCAGGACAAUGAUGCAUCUGCAGGGAGAUGAGGCAUUUCCAGUUAGCUGAUAGUUGCAUCCACAGGGUCUAGAACAGUGCCUGACACCUGAUGGUAACUCCGUAAAUAUUUGUCAAAUAAUGUACAUGACACACUUAGACCCAUGCCUGGUGCAGGGUAAUCACUCCUGAAAUAGGACUUUUCUUGGCAGGCUGUGACCAGGGAAGCAGGGAGGAUGGGUCUGACUCCUUUAAGGCAGUUUACCAUCUCCCAGGACACUUCCUGGUCAAGCAGUUAUGGAAAUUUUGCUUCUCCUUUUGAGCUUUUUCCAAACGUUACACAGUGGUCUACCUAAAACAAGAUUUUAUAGUCAGGAAAUAAAGAUAAUAAAAGCUACUUAAUAAAAUCCUUCUACCAGCAAGCAUGCAGUCCACAAGUGUAUGCAGCCCACAGGUGUAUGCAAUCCACAGGUGUAUGCAGUCCACAGAUGUAUGAAGCCCACAGGUGUAUGCAACCUACAGGUGUAUGCAGCCCGCAGGUGUAUGAAGCCCACAGGUGUAUGCAGUCUACAGACGUAUGAAGCCCACAGGUGUAUGCAGCCCACAGAUGUAUGAAGCCCACAGGCGUAUGCAACCUACAGGUGUAUGUAGCCCACAGGUGCAUGCAGCCCAUGGUAUCUACAUGCAAUGCAGGUGUCAUAUACCUUGAGGGGAUUCUUGGGCCAAAUGCAACAUACACUUAAGCCCAGAACUGGAUGAGGUAACCAGACAUGGCAGGUGGCCCAGCCCUAUGCCUUCAGAUGAUAAAAUGUCGUUUCAUUAAAGAAGUACAAGAAGUCUGAAAAAGUGAAGCGACUUGCCCCACGCAGCAGGUAAGGGUGGAUGGGACUGGGGAAGGAAGAAAGCCUUGAGCAGGGUCCCAUGUAAUGCAGAUUAAAUGGCGAGUGCGUAUCAGACUGUCUGUCACAUGCCAAGUGCUCAGUUAAUGUUAGCUACCAUGGGUUUUAUUGUUUUCCCAUCCAACCAUGCCUUUGCUGCUAUUUCUCAUAAGCACAAUCUCUGACUAUGUGGAUUUCCCACUGCAGCUCAACCUGAUACCAGCCGACUGUCUACAGCAGUAGCUGAAGGCACAAGCUUUGAACUAGACUUGAAUCCUAGCUCUGCUGUGCCCCAACUGUGUGAUUUGGGCCAGUGUCACUACCUUUCUGAGCCUCGAUUUCCUCUUCUGCAAAAUGGGCUAACAGCACUUCCCUCGGAGACUUACUGGAAAGAAGAAAUGGUCCCACUGUGCAAAGGACUCAUCCCAGGGCUUUGCCCAGAGCAAGUCCCUGGCUAUUUAUUUAUUUUUUAUUUUUAUUUAUUUAUUUUUUUUGAGAUGGAGUCUCGUCUCUGUCGCCCAGGCUGGAGUGCAGUGGUGCGAUCUCGGCUCACUGCAAACUCCGCCUAAUUUUGUGUAUUUUUUUUUAGUAGAGACGGGGUUUCACCGUGUUCUCCAGGAUGGUCUCGAUCUCCUGACCUCAUGAUCCGCCCGCCUCGGCCUCCCAAAGUGCUGGGAUUACAGGCGUGAGCCACCACGCCCGGUCAGUCCUUGGCUAUUUAUUUAGCAAAUAUAUAUUGAGUACCUGCCAUGUGUCAAACACUCUUCUGGGCUCUCAGGAUACAGAAAUGGUCAAAACAGAGAAAAUUUGUCUCCUUGGAGAACUUAUAUUCCAGGGGGGAAGUCAGGUGAUAAACAAAUAAAUAUACUGGCCGGGCAUGGUGGUUCACGCCUGUAAUUCCAGCACUUUGGGAGGACAAGGUGGGCGGGUCACCUGAGGUCAGGAGUUCAAGAUCAGCCUGGCCAACAUGGUGAAACCCCAUCUCUACUGAAAAUACAAAAAUUAGCCAGGCAUGGUGGUGGGUGCCUAUAAUCCCAGCUACUUGGGAGGUUGAGGCAUGAGAAUCGCUUGAACCCGGGAGGCAGAAGUUGCAGUGAGCUGAGAUUGUGUGGCUGCACUCCAGCCUGGGCAACAGAGCAAGACCCUGUCUUAAAAAAUAAAUAAAUAAUGCCAAGAAAUUUCAUGUGCUAUGAAGAAAAAUAAAAUAAGGUAAAGGAAUAAAGAGUAACACAGGAAGACGCUUUUCUAGAUGGUGUAGUGAGGGAAGGUUUCUCAGGAGGUGGCAUUUGGACAGAGCCCUGAAUGAAGUGAUGGAGUGAGUCACGAAGAUCCCUAGAGGAACAGCUAGUUGGCAAAGAGGAAAGAGAAGUCGUCGUCGUCGUCAUCAUCAUCAUCAUCAUCAUCAUCAUCAACUACUUUUCCACCACAAGCACAUAGUAGGUACUCAAUCAAUAUUUGAAUGACCACAAAGGGUGAGAAAUGCAAGUGCAACUCAGACCCACAAAAGAAUAGUGGGGUGAGUAUAAGAAGAAAAUCAAGGCUGGCUUGAAUGCCUGGUUCUAUGUCCUGUCUCUCUCUUUCCCUUUGUCUCUUUGUCUCUCUCUCCCCCUCGAUUUUUCUUUUUUUUCUUGAGACAGGGUCUCACUCUGUUGCCCAGGCUGGAGUGCAGUGGCAACAUCACAGCUCACUGCAACCUUGAACUCCUCAAUCUUCCUGCCUCAGCCUCCCGAGUAGCUGGAACUACAGGUGUGUGCCACCACACAGGCUAAUUUCUUAAAUUUCUGGAGACAGGCUCUUGUUAUGUGGCCCAGGCUCUUCUUG
rnacentral:lncRNA from 10 species